UACAGGGGGGUGCAAACGUUGCUCGGAAUCAUUGGGCGUAAAGCGCACGUAGGCGGUUCGUUAUGUCGGAUGUGAAAGCCCUUGGCUUAACCGAGGAAGUGCAUCCGAAACUGGCGAGCUAGAGUACGAAAGAGGAUCGCGGAAUUCCCGGUGUAGAGGUGAAAUUCGUAGAUAUCGGGAGGAACACCAGAGGCGAAGGCGGCCACCUGGACGGACACUGACGCUGAGACGCGAAAGCGUGGGGAGCAAACAGG
rnacentral:rRNA from 1 species